rfam:Colletotrichum gloeosporioides Cg-14 contig03405, whole genome shotgun sequence.
GGCCGGCUGGCGCAAUGGUAGCGCGUCAGCCUCCUAUUCCAUCAGGAGGUCUUCACAGCUGAAGGUUCUGGGUUCGAGUCCCAGGUCGGUCG